GUUCACCAGGCUGAGCUGGUGAGAUGGUAGGCACGAGUUUAGGAUCACUACAUGGACUUCCUGCAAAUUCAAGAAAGGUACAUGAGUGGCAGGAAAAUCAGUCACGAGUCCAUCAACCCUAGCAGUUUGGACAUAAGUAGCGAUCUCAAUAUUAGGAUCUGACCAAUAGUCAAAGGCCAGGGACGUGUAUUCAUUUCUGAGAGUACGUAUGAAAACUGUGAGGUUUGCAUCUCUCAACUCUUU